GUAAGGAAUAUUGGUCAAUGGACGAAAGUCUGAACCAGCCAUGCCGCGUGGAGGAUGAAGGUCCUCUGGAUUGUAAACUUCUUUUAUCUGGGACGAAAAAAGGUCUUUCUAGAUCGUCUGACGGUACCAGAUGAAUAAGCACCGGCUAACUCCGUGCCAGCAGCCGCGGUAAUACGGAGGGUGCAAGCGUUAUCCGGAUUCACUGGGUUUAAAGGGUGCGUAGGUGGGUUGGUAAGUCAGUGGUGAAAUCUUCGAGCUUAACUCGGAAACUGCCAUUGAUACUAUCAGUCUUGAAUAUUGUGGAGGUUAGCGGAAUAUGUCAUGUAGCGGUGAAAUGCUUAGAUAUGACAUAGAACACCAAUUGCGAAGGCAGCUGGCUACACAUAUAUUGACACUGAGGCACGAAAGCGUGGGGAUCAAACAGGAUUAGAAACCUGGUAGUCC
rnacentral:rRNA from 1 species